rnacentral:tRNA from 1 species
AGGCGCGUAGCUCAGUUGGUUAGAGCGCCACGUUGACAUCGUGGAGGUCACCAGUUCGACUCUGGUCGUGCCUACCA